rnacentral:tmRNA from 1 species
AUAAAAAUGGUAUGUAGGAAUUUCGGACGCGGGUUCAACUCCCGCCAGCUCCACCA